GACGAACGCUGGCGGCGUGCCUAAUACAUGCAAGUAGAACGCUGAAGGAGGAGCUUGCUUCUCUGGUUGAGUUGCGAACGGGUGAGUAACGCGUAGGUAACCUGCCUGGUAGCGGGGGAUAACUAUUGGAAACGAUAGCUAAUACCGCAUAAGAGUAGAUGUUGCAUGACAUUUGCUGAAAAGUUGCAAUUGCAUCACUACCAGAUGGGCCUUCGUUGUAUUAGCUAGUGGGUGUGGUAACGGCUCACCAAGGCGAGGAUACGUAGCCGCCCUGAGAGGGUGAGCGGCCACACUGGGACUGAGACACGGCCCAGACUCCUACGGGAGGCAGCAGUAGGGAAUCUUCGGCAAUGGACGGAAGUCUGACCGCGAAACGCCGAGUGAGUGAAGAAGGUUUUCGGAUCGUAAAGCUCUGUUGUAAGAGAAGAACGAGUGUGAGAGUGGAAAGUUCACACUGUGACGGUAUCUUACCAGAAAGGGACGGCUAACUACGUG
rnacentral:rRNA from 1 species